GCUCAGAUUGAACGCUGGCGGCAGGCCUAACACAUGCAAGUCGAGCGGCAGCGGGAGGAAGCUUGCUUCCUCGCCGGCGAGCGGCGGACGGGUGAGUAAUGUCUGGGGAUCUGCCCGAUGGAGGGGGAUAACCACUGGAAACGGUGGCUAAUACCGCAUAACGUCGCAAGACCAAAGUGGGGGACCUUCGGGCCUCACACCAUCGGAUGAACCCAGAUGGGAUUAGCUAGUAGGUGGGGUAAUGGCUCACCUAGGCGACGAUCCCUAGCUGGUCUGAGAGGAUGACCAGCCACACUGGAACUGAGACACGGUCCAGACUCCUACGGGAGGCAGCAGUGGGGAAUAUUGCACAAUGGGCGCAAGCCUGAUGCAGCCAUGCCGCGUGUGUGAAGAAGGCCUGCGGGUUGUAAAGCACUUUCAGCGAGGAGGAAGGUGGUGAACUUAAUACGUUCAUCAAUUGACGUUACUCGCAGAAGAAGCACCGGCUAACUCCGUGCCAGCAGCCGCGGUAAUACGGAGGGUGCAAGCGUUAAUCGGAAUUACUGGGCGUAAAGCGCACGCAGGCGGUUUGUUAAGUCAGAUGUGAAAUCCCCGAGCUUAACUUGGGAACUGCAUUUGAAACUGGCAAGCUAGAGUCUCGUAGAGGGGGGUAGAAUUCCAGGUGUAGCGGUGAAAUGCGUAGAGAUCUGGAGGAAUACCGGUGGCGAAGGCGGCCCCCUGGACGAAGACUGACGCUCAGGUGCGAAAGCGUGGGGAGCAAACAGGAUUAGAUACCCUGGUAGUCCACGCCGUAAACGAUGUCGAUUUGGAGGUUGUGCCCUUGAGGCGUGGCUUCCGGAGCUAACGCGUUAAAUCGACCGCCUGGGGAGUACGGCCGCAAGGUUAAAACUCAAAUGAAUUGACGGGGGCCCGCACAAGCGGUGGAGCAUGUGGUUUAAUUCGAUGCAACGCGAAGAACCUUACCUACUCUUGACAUCCAGAGAACUUAGCAGAGAUGCUUUGGUGCCUUCGGGAACUCUGAGACAGGUGCUGCAUGGCUGUCGUCAGCUCGUGUUGUGAAAUGUUGGGUUAAGUCCCGCAACGAGCGCAACCCUUAUCCUUUGUUGCCAGCGGUUAGGCCGGGAACUCAAAGGAGACUGCCAGUGAUAAACUGGAGGAAGGUGGGGAUGACGUCAAGUCAUCAUGGCCCUUACGAGUAGGGCUACACACGUGCUACAAUGGCGUAUACAAAGAGAAGCGAACCUGCGAAGGCAAGCGGACCUCAUAAAGUACGUCGUAGUCCGGAUUGGAGUCUGCAACUCGACUCCAUGAAGUCGGAAUCGCUAGUAAUCGUAGAUCAGAAUGCUACGGUGAAUACGUUCCCGGGCCUUGUACACACCGCCCGUCACACCAUGGGAGUGGGUUGCAAAAGAAGUAGGUAGCUUAACCUUCGGGAGGGCGCUUACCACUUUGUGAUUCAUGACUGGGGUGAAGUCGUAACAAGGUAACCGUAGGGGAACCUG
rnacentral:rRNA from 1 species